rnacentral:rRNA from 1 species
UACGGAGGGUGCAAGCGUUUAAUCGGAGUUACUGGGCGUAAAGGGCGCGUAGGUGGUUAUUUAAGUUUGAUGUGAAAUCCCUGGGCUUAACCUAGGAACUGCAUUGAAAACUGGAUAACUGGAGUACUGUAGAGGGUAGUGGAAUUUCCGGUGUAGCGGUGAAAUGCGUAGAGAUCGGAAGGAACACCAGUGGCGAAGGCGGCUACCUGGACAGAUACUGACACUGAGGCGCGAGAGCGUGGGGAGCAAACAGG